rnacentral:rRNA from 1 species
UACGGGGGGGGCAAGCGUUGUUCGGAAUUACUGGGGGUAAAGGGCGCGUAGGCGGUCUACUAAGUUGGAUGUGAAAACUCUGGGCUUAACCCAGAGCCUGCAUUCAAAACUGAUAGGCUGGAGUUCUGGAGGGGAUAGCGGAAUUCCUGGUGUAGCGGUGAAAUGCGUAGAUAUCAGGAGGAACACCGGUGGCGAAGGCGGCUAUCUGGACAGAAACUGACGCUGAGGCGCGAAAGCUAGGGGAGCAAACAGG